GGUUAAGCUACGAAGGGCGCACGGAGGAUGCCUUGGCGCCAGGUGCCGAUGAAGGACGGGGCAAACGCCGAUACGCUUCGGGGAGUCGUAAGCAGACUUUGAUCCGGAGAUUUCCGAAUGGGGAAACCCACUACUCGUAAUG
rnacentral:rRNA from 1 species